CCUGCCCAGGGGCUGCUGCUGACGGGCUCCUCCCCUCCGGCACCUGCGGGCAGGGAGCAGCUGAGCCCAGACCGAACCCCCAGCGGGGCGGGAGCGGGGCUAAGGCAGCUCCUGGGCUGCGGCUGCUGCAGGAAUGGGACCCAUCUCUGGUGACUCCCUCGGGGCUGUCCCCUGCUAAUGGCCAUCAGACCCUCUGCGUGAGCCAUAAAUGACAUCAUCCCCGGACACGCUCCGCCCAGGGGAGGAACCGGGCACUCCUGCCCGGUAUCGCUGAGCCUCCGGCACCUGCAGCACCGUGCCUGCCGCAUUCCCAGAGGAGAGGAGCUCCACGGUCACCACGGGACCUUCAGAGGAGGAGCAGAGCCUUCUGCAGGGUCACCUCUCCAUCAGAACCACCCCCGAGGGCUGCAGCCACCUGAGCUGGACUGGUACCACGCCCUGACCGACAGGCUGCCAGGGACCCCAGGAGGGGAGCAGCGUGUACCUGACCAGCAUUGGAGGGGCCCUGCCUCUGGCCAGGGGGGGAGGACAGGGGCACUGGGAUCUUUGUGUGGAUCCUUGGCCUGGACCUCUGACCACAGAGAUUUGGGCUCAGCUCUGGUGGACACUGAGGCCGUGCAGGGACACCGCUGGGCUCGUGGGGGAGCUGCUGUGGGGACAGAGGGCAGCAGACCCCUGCACACCCUGCCUGCCCUCUCAGCUGGGCCCGGUGCUGGGGCUGCUGGGAGCUGAGAACAGCAGGGACACAGGUACACAAUUCUCAGAACAGGAAUGUGCUGAACAACACCUCAACAACGACAAAGUGCUGCGCUUUUUUUUUUUUUCUUGAUGAAAACAA